GCCCGAGAAGCCAGCAGAAUCAGACCCCGAUCGGGCACCCACCUCACUCCUGAAAGAGCUCGCCUCUGUGUUUGGGUUUAUUAUUUCUGCACUGCCACAAAAAGCCCUUGGAUCGGCACUGCCCCAUGCCAUCCCACCUCUGACAACCAAAAUCGCCUCUUUCCCGGCUGACUCGGUCCUUCCCUAGAGUCAGUGCGGAUCCCGAGCCCCACGAGGGACUGAAGGCCAGAAGGGUCCAGCCAUCCUGGGCAACACCCGCUCAGUCACAGAUGGGACGGCGGGCCUUCACGUCUAAGACUACGCGGCAAACAUCUUUUCCACACUGAGGCGUCUCCUCUCUCCGUGGGCAUGUCCACCGAGGCGAGCAAAGAAAUCCACACACACAAAGCAUCCACUGUGGUCUCCGUGGCUCAUUUAUCUUCUCGUCCCUCUCCGGGAGGGGAAGCACAGACAGGAGAGAGACGCAGAGACACACAGAUGGAGAGAGGGAGGAAGAGACGCUGCACAGUGGCUGUGGCUGGUCCCACGACCCGCGCCGAGAGCCCCACUCGUCCUGCGUAGGUCUGCACGCAGCCGCGCUCCAACUGUAAGCCAUG